UUAGCUCAGUGGCAGAGCUCUAGAUUACCGUUCAAGAGCCCGCGGGUUCGAAUCCCCCA
rnacentral:tRNA from 1 species